rnacentral:rRNA from 1 species
AUUGAACGCUGGCGGCAUGCCUAACACAUGCAAGUCGAACGAGUGGCGGACGGGUGAGUAAUGUCUGGGAAACUGCCUGAUGGAGGGGGAUAACUACUGGAAACGGUAGCUAAUACCGCAUACCAUCGGAUGUGCCCAGAUGGGAUUAGCGAGUGGGUGGGGAAAAGGCUCACAUAGGCGACGAUCCCCAGCUGGUCUGAGAGGAUGACCGGCCAACCUGGAACUGAGACACGGUCCAGACGCCUACGGGAGGAAGCAGUGGGGAAUAUUGCACAAUGGGCGAAAGCCUGAUGCAGCCAUGCCGCGGGGAUGAAGAAGGCCUUGGGGUUGUAAAGUACUUUCAUCGGGGAGGCGUUACCCGAAGAAGAAGCACCGGCUAACUCCGUGCCAGCCGCCGCGGUAAUAC